CGUGAGAUGUUGGGUUAAGUCCCGCAACGAGCGCAACCCUUGUCCUUUGUUGCCAGCGGGUAAAGCCGGGAACUCAAAGGAGACUGCCAGUGACAAACUGGAGGAAGGCAGGGAUGACGUCAAGUCAUCAUGGCCCUUACGGUCAGGGCUACACACGUGCUACAAUGGGGCGUACAGAGGGAAACGAUACCGCGAGGUGGAGUGGAACCCAAAAAGCGUCCCUAAGUUCGGAUUGGAAGUCUGCAACUCGACUCCA
rnacentral:rRNA from 1 species